UACGUAGGCAGCAAGCGUUGUUCGGAGUUACUGGGCGUAAAGAGUGCGUAGGCGGUGUUCUAAGUUUGGUGUGAAAUCCCUCGGCUUAACCGAGGAACUGCCCUCCAAACUGCUUCGCUUGAGUCCGGGAGAGGUGAGUGGAAUUCCCAGUGUAGCGGUGAAAUGCGUAGAUAUUGGGAGGAACACCGGUGGCGAAGGCGGGUCUCUGGGCCGAUACUGACGCUGAGGAGCGAAAGCGUGGGGAGCAAACAGG
rnacentral:rRNA from 1 species